CAACCAGGAGGUUGGCUUAGAAGCAGCCAUCCUUGAAAGAGUGCGUAAUAGCUCACUGGUCAAGUGAUUCCGCGCCGACAAUGUAGCGGGGCUCAAGUACACCGCCGAAGUCGUGUCACUCCAACAUAUAGACCUAACGGUUGUUGGGGUGGGUAGGGGAGCGUCGUGUGCCGAGUGAAGCAGCCGUGUAAGCGAGUUGUGGACGGUUCACGAGUGAGAAUGCAGGCAUGAGUAGCGAUACAAGAGUGGGAAACUCUUGCGCCGAUUGACUAAGGGUUCCUGGGUCAAGCUGAUCUGCCCA
rnacentral:rRNA from 1 species